AAACUUUCAACAACGGAUCUCUUGGUUCUGGCAUCGAUGAAGAACGCAGCGAAAUGCGAUAAGUAAUGUGAAUUGCAGAAUUCAGUGAAUCAUCGAAUCUUUGAACGCACAUUGCGCCCUCUGGUAUUCCGGAGGGCAUGCCUGUCCGAGCGUCAUUU
rnacentral:rRNA from 2 species